GCCUACGGGGGGCAGCAGUAGGGAAUAUUGCUCAAUGGGGGAAACCCUGAAGCAGCAACGCCGCGUGGAGGAUGAAGGUUUUCGGAUUGUAAACUCCUUUUGUUAGAGAAGAUAAUGACAGUAUCUAACGAAUAAGCACCGGCUAACUCCGUGCCAGCAGCCGCGGUAAUACGGAGGGUGCAAGCGUUACUCGGAAUCACUGGGCGUAAAGAGCGCGUAGGCGGGAUAGCAAGUCAGAUGUGAAAUCCUAUGGCUUAACCAUAGAACUGCAUUUGAAACUGUUAUUCUAGAGUAUGGGAGAGGUA
rnacentral:rRNA from 1 species